CCUCAGAGAUGGCCUUUGGCCACGUCCAGUAUCUAUUCCUGUAUCAUUUUCCUUCUUCUUGUUAAGGUCCUACUCUAUACUUGUAUUUACCUCUUUUGUGAAAGAACUAGAAACAACGAAUUUUCUAAGAGGAAGAAGAGGAGCAUAAAGGAGAAUGGACAUGACUUCAUAAGAGACUGAAGUCCUCCAGAGAACUCCAAAACAAAUGGCUGUCCUGAAGCUCCUUUCAGUGGGUAGCUGCCCAGCUGCCUUUACUGACGCUCUCUGAAAUGUCUGCCCAGCAAACCAGGCGUGAAGGGCACCGGAGGAGCGAUCCUUAUCUUCUGGGAACAACGGAGCUCUGCACAGCAAGGCAAGGCUUUGGAGAUGGAUUUCUGCUCCCUCCUUGGUUCAGGAUACUGGCCCCUGGGAAUACAGCCCUUUAUGGAUCCUCACCGAACGAGGCUGGGAUUUAAAAAGCAAAGCUGAACUUUCCGACCUGAAACCUCAAAUCCUUUUCUGAUGGUUUUUGUAACUGGAAAGCGGAAAUAGAGUCUUCAGUAAUUCAAAAGAGAUUUAAUGAUCAAAGCUGCAAUUAAAGGCGUGGUGAGUCAUCUUACAGUCGUCCAUGUGCUAAAACGCACAGGCUGUGCAAGAGAUCAUGUUGUCAUGGCUGGUUUUACUCAAAACGAGGAUAUAGGAGCUGCUAUUACUUCCAGCUUCAGAAACAAUCUGAGUUCUGCUGACCUGUGUUUAUAGAGCAGAAGAAAAGGCAACAGUCCUGACUCCCCCAUUUGUGUAUUUAUUUAGUAGUUCUGUCUGCAGCAUCUGAAUUCAUUAUGGUGCUUUAUUACUUUUCACCUUCUUUCAGAGUGUCUGCUCUCAGUAGGAACUUUGAUUUUUUUUUUCAUUUACACUAACAAAUUACCCACCAAAACAAAUACGGAAGAGCUGAUCUUCAGAGUACUAUGGGGCUUUUUUUCUUUCUGCAGCAUGCAUUAACAAUGAAAUAUUUAACUGAACUUUUCACAGCAUGUGCAUUUUUUCAAAUUAAAAUUGCAAAAGACAAGGAAAUGAAGAUAAAAAUAUCCAACCAAGCUGUUUCUCCGAAACCCUCACAAGUAAUCUAAUAUUUCCCUUUAAAUCCUGUUGUUUUAUUCUGCUCAAUACAAAACAUAGUGCUAAAGACAAUUUGGUUUUAGUAAAGGAGAAACUUCUUCCUAAAAACAUUUAGCCAGUCACACGAAAGCAACUAAAGGGAAGCGGGAGAAUUGGUAACUCUCUACUGGAAAAAUGUAAUAAAAAUUUUGACAAUCUGCUACAAGUCUUGCUUUCCCUGUUCCUCAGUUCCCUUCCUAGUGGUAUUUCAUGUUUUAUUUUCAAUUUCUCAUAAUGGUUGCAGUAUUCAAACUCUAACCCACUAGAAUGUGA
rnacentral:lncRNA from 13 species